UCUCGCGAGAUGAGCUAUUUGACAUCGGUACUAGGUGUCCGGCGGGAGGCAAGAAGCUGGAUAUUAACGGCGUUGCGGAACGUUUACGCAGCGAUCCGGGCUUGCGGGUUAUGUUGAGAAAAUCGGAACUAUCCCGCGAAGGGCGGGGCUUCUGAGCGAUAUAAAUUUGAACCAAAGUCCAUCCUGCAAGAUUCCUCGCGUGGAAUGAGUUGGUAAAAGUGUUCCGUUUUAUCUAUGGAAUAUAUUUUGCAUUAAGAAAGAAAACUGUGUGGGACCCAGGAUUCUUUUUUUCUCUGUUAAAAGCUGGUUAUUAGCUAGCCCAGGAACCAAAUUUAUUCCCAUGGAUCUGUCGCCCAGUUUGCUGCUAAUGUUAUGGACUUUGUUGAGUGUGCUAUUCAAGGAGAUUACUGGACACAAAGUGUAUACAAACACGUGGGCAGUUCAUAUAUCUGGAGGCUCUGCUGAAGCUGACAGACUAUCCAGGAAAUAUGGAUUCAUUAACCAUGGGCAGAUUUUUGAAGACCAUUAUCAUUUCUCUCACCGAGCUGUGAUGAAAAGGUCAUUGACCCCCAAGAGAACUAGACAAGUCUUGUUAAAGAGAGAGCCUCAGGUGCACUGGUUGGAGCAGCAAGUGGCAAAAAAAAGAAAAAAGAGAGAUAUUUUUAUAGAUCCAACAGAUCCCAAAUUUAUGCAGCAGUGGUACCUGCUUGAUACAAACCGACACGAUCUGCAUGUGAAGGAGGCUUGGGAGCAAGGCUUUACUGGCAAAGGCAUUGUGGUCUCUAUUCUUGAUGACGGUAUUGAAAAGAACCACCCAGAUCUGCAAGCUAAUUAUGAUCCGGCUGCUAGCUAUGAUGUCAAUGACCAAGAUCCAGAUCCUCAGCCUAGAUAUACUCAGCUGAAUGAUAACAGGCAUGGUACUCGCUGUGCAGGAGAGGUGGCAGCAGUGGCAAAUAAUGACAUCUGUGGUGUUGGAAUAGCAUAUAAUGCAAAUAUUGGAGGAGUGCGAAUGCUGGACGGAGAAGUUACUGAUGCCGUGGAAGCAAGGUCCUUAGGACUCAAUCCUAACCACAUCCACAUCUAUAGUGCCAGCUGGGGACCAGAAGAUGAUGGAAAAACUGUGGAUGGGCCAGCAAAGUUGGCCGAAGAGGCUUUUUAUAGAGGAGUUACACAGGGUCGUGGAGGCCUGGGCUCCAUAUAUGUUUGGGCUUCCGGCAAUGGUGGCAGACAACAUGACAGCUGUAACUGUGAUGGCUACACCAACAGUAUCUACACCCUUUCUAUUAGCAGCACCACCCAGACGGGAAAUGUUCCUUGGUACAGUGAGGCAUGUUCUUCCACUCUUGCCACAACUUACAGCAGUGGCAACCAGAACGAGAAGCAAAUUGUUACGACAGAUCUGAGACAGAAGUGCACAGACUCUCACACUGGGACGUCGGCAUCAGCACCGCUGGCUGCAGGAAUCAUCGCUCUCGCUCUGGAAGCAAAUAAAAAUCUUACUUGGAGAGACAUGCAGCAUCUGGUUGUACAGACAUCAAACCCAGCUAGCCUGAAUGCUAAUGACUGGAUUACCAAUGGUGUUGGGCGCAAAGUGAGUCAUUCAUACGGAUAUGGUCUGCUGGAUGCUGGAGCCAUGGUGGCGAUGGCCAAGAACUGGGUCACCGUUGGACCACAAAGAAAAUAUGUCAUUGACAUUCUCAGCGAGCCCAAGGACAUUGGGAAACGUUUGGAAGUCAGGCGCAAGGUAGAGCCCUGUGCAGGGAUGUCCAAUUACAUCAGCACCUUGGAACAUGUUCAGGCAAGGCUCAGCUUGUCCUACAAUUGCAGAGGAGACCUGGCCAUCUAUUUAACCAGCCCAAUGGGCACCCGCUCUUGCUUGUUGGCACCCAGACUCCAUGAUUACUCAGCAGAUGGCUUCAAUGAUUGGUCCUUCAUGACAACACAUUCAUGGGAUGAGGAUCCUGCAGGAGAGUGGGUUUUGGAAAUUGAAAAUGUCAGCAAAAACAAUAAUUACGGAACACUUACCCAGUUUGUCUUGGUGUUGUAUGGAACUGCAUCCGAAACUCCGGGCCUCUCCAGGCAGUUUGAUGGGGAUGGAUACAGAAAUGUGGCCUCCAGCCAGUCUUGCAUUGUGUGUGAAGAAGGCUACUUCCUUCAUCAAAAGAGCUGCAUAAAAUCUUGCCCAUCGGGCUUCACGUCCAGUAUCCAGAAUAUGCACUACACCCUUGACAACAACAUAGAGCCUCUCCUGGUUAAUGUGUGCGUGCCGUGCCAUCCUUCCUGUGCCACGUGCAAAGGCACCACAAUCAACGACUGCCUAACAUGUCCUGCACACUCACACUACAACCUGGUGGACUAUAGCUGCACUCACCAGACUCAAAGGAGCAGAGAAUCUCCCACAUUAAAAGACUCUGGUCAUGACUAUAUUUCCGGGACCUCUAAUCUGCCAUUUAUCGUGGCCAUCCUGAGCUGCUUAUUCAUAAUCGUGGUCUUUGGUAGUAUAUUCCUCUUCCUUCAGCUGCGAUCUGGGGGAGUCCUUGGUAGAAAGAAGUUGUACAUGUUGGACAGCGGCAUUAUCUCCUACAAGGGCAUCCCCUCAGGGGUGUGGCAAGAAGAGGGGUUUUCAGAGUCUGAAAUAGAAGAGACUGGUGCACACAGUGAGAGAAAAGCUUUCAUAAAGCAACAGAGCACCCUUUGAUGAUUAUGAUCACUUUCCUUCGCCACUCACCAAAACGUUUUGCCAGAUCCCUUUUUACCUAUAUUUUAAACACUGGACGUGUCCACGUAGAUACAAGGUAAACGGCAAAAUGUUGGCUCCAGCAAGUUCUUAAACCUGUUGCCAUAGGCAAUACCAAAACAUUUUGCUUUUUCUUCCUUCUUAAAUCAUUGUAUUGUCGCUAUUUUUUAACCUGACGGUGCCUGGCCCUUUUUCAUCAUGUGGUCUUAUGAUUAUUAUUUUUUUAAAUUUAUUAUUUUGCCCCACUGUCAGUUAUCAUUUUGUCAAUUAACCCGUUCAGUGGCAGAAUGCCUUUUUAAUGGCCAUGUGACAGGUUUAAGAUCUGAUUGUGCAUAUCCGAAAUGAUUUAAUGUAGAGCACAUAUUUAAAGGACCAUCGGAUACCAUUGAUGAACUGGAAGAACCGGUUGCCCCUCUAAACAAUUUUAAAAGUAGAUUUCUUUACAGAACAUCAGUUUCAGACAUGAAUAAUAAUGUAGGUAACCAAAGCCAUUUCAUGUAUAUUGGUGAGAUAGUCUGACCUAAAGGGAAUCCAGGUGUAUGAUGAAUGCACCCUACCCACCCAGCUUAUUGGAGAGUUCUUGGAUUUUCAUUGAGGAGGUUCAGUUCUUUCAGUACAGGAGUGACUGCAUUUUCUAGAGAUCCAUGGAUUGUGACAGCAGUGUUACUGUUGGUGUUAAUUAUUUUAAUUAUUCAUUAUUUUUUAUUCCUGGGCAAGACUACAAGUCAGCUGUUAGCUGCUAAAUGGAAAGCUGGAAGUGUUAAUAUGACAGGGAAAGUGCAUGCGGUAUGAUUUAAUUGCAUUAGCUCAUUGUCUGUCCAUAUGAAAAUCUGUCUGUCAGCCUCAAUAGUAUUGGCCACAGAGAUUACUAUGUGCCGCCCCACAGUGGAUAGAAAAUGACAUAGUGAGAUUGCAGUUAGCAGAAACAGAAUUAUAGCUUCUGUGGGAAUAACACUGACCAUACGUGACUAGAUCUAAACAGGCAGACGUAGGCUAAUUUCAACCAUAUUACCUAGCCACCUGGGCACGUAAGGUCAGUUUAGGGGGUGGGCAUUCAGAAUUAUAAUCCCCUAGUGAAUCAAGAAUUAUCUUGUCGGGCGCCUCCUGUUCUAGUUUAUAUGGUGGUAAGCCUGAACGGAACAGGACAAAGAUGGAUAUAUAUAUAUAUAGGCACCAUUAUUAUCUCAUGCAGUAUCUGUAUUUGCACCUGGGCCUAUUGCUUGGGCUACUGUGAUGGUUGCCUUGUUUAUGGCCACCUUAAUAAAUACAAGCUAUGUUUGUAUAGCAAUGGGCUGGAAGUAAAAUGUGCACAAGUAUUCAGUGCCGUAUAGUGUUGCAAGACUUGCUAGUUAUUAUCAGAUGGUGGAAGUCAGGUUUGCACAAAUGAAUGGAACAAUCAAAGGAAGUCAAACAUAUUACAAGCCCAUCAAGCACAGCUCGGCCUGUGUAAGCCAAUAUGAUUGUGUAAUAUUUACCAUAAAUUUCCUAAUUGUUAUUUCUUGUGAGGAUUCUUUAGUCAGAAUUUCAUCAAAAUAGCUUGAGCAAUAGGGAUUGCCAGCGCCUCCCACAGAUUCAUGUUGUUUCAAAACUGUGUAGAAAGUGAGUUGCCUCUAGUGCUUUUGUGCAAUAAAUGAAGAACCUGCAGAAACUGUGAAGAUAUGAUGUGAACCUUCAGAUGUCUCAGAAGCCAUGGUUGGAGCUGGGGCCAGUGGGAUCACAUGUUCACCAUUAUUGGAUUUAGACAAAUCUGUCCGAUAUAUUGGCUUGGCAUGGAUUAUUUAAUGAUUUUACAGGCAAAUAUUAAGAAUACCUAGUGCACAGACUAUCAUACUGUGGCUUUGUUAAGGCAUAUUCUUAGAUAACAUUACCACUUGGUGUUAGAGCUCCCAGUACAGGUAGCCAGUCUAUGCUUGGGACUUGAUCCAGAUAAGGAAUCUUUCCAUAAUUUGGAUCACCAUACAUUGUCUGCUAAAAACAUUAAAGAAACCCAAUAGUUUCUUCACCAAUAAAGAUUUAAUGCAGCUUAAGUUACCAUCAAGUACAAAGUACUGAGAAAAGGAAUUCAUUUUUAAAAAUGGAAAACCUUUUGCUUAAAAUGGAAUCUAUGGGCGAUAACCUUCCUGCAGUUUGGAGCUUUCUGGAUAAGGGAUCCCGUACCAGCCAACAACCUGUCCUAACCAUAAACUAACUUUCUGUCAGGUUAAGGAAACAACAAGAAAAUAACGACUGCUUUUUGGAAGAAUGUUUUGUUUUUUUUCAGUAAAGAUAUACAACUUGGCUUUGGUUGUGUCCAAGACUGUAUUAAGGCCCUUGGCAUUCUGCAUCUAAAUGGGUUAAUUUGUCAGAGUAUAAAGCACCUACUCCGCUUCCAAAUUCCUUCUUAAUGGCUCAGAGCCUCGCCAUCUCCAUUUUGUUUGUGGGUGCUGAGGUCUAAUAGGGUGUCUCAUACAAUUAUCACUACAUUGGCACAUCCCACUUGGUUAUUUGCUAUCUAGGUUUUCAUACCCGUCCAGAAAAGCACUGGUUUUAAGGAAUCCUGGUUACCGGAAUUGUGUGCCUUCUCUCCCCCCGAAUGAUUGUGUGCCGAUAUCUGCCCAGCUUGCCUGCAUCCCGAAGACAGCGUUUGUAUAAAUGAGCAAUAAUGGAGAGCGGGUGCCAGGCAUUCCUUGGAAGAGCCUCCCCCAGCGGGAAUAUCGCACACAUUAUUAUUGCAUUGCACAGAGACAUAUCUUAGGCCCUUUAAUAUUUUUGUAAAGUAAUUUUAAGGACAAAAAUACCUUUCCUAUUGGGGCCGAUCAAUGGAUGUGGACUAAACCGGAGUCGCUAAAGAUCUGCAGCUGUAAUACGAUGGAGAUUCCGCUGGAUCCUGUAUAUGUGCAAAGGGACAAUUGAUGGUGAUUGGAACAAAACAAAUCCAAUGAAAACUAUUUUUGUAUCAUUUUUGUGCAAAGUAAAUUUUCUUGUAAUUUAAACAUAAUAAACGUUUUUUAUUUAA